AAUUAAAUAUUUAAUGGUGUCAUUCUUUAUAUUGACACUUGUGGCUUUAGUAAGAACUAUUUGAUUUGAUAGUUCCUAACCUUUUUUCUCCCUCUUUUUUGGUGUGGGGUGUUAUAUUUCUUCCAGAGUUCGUGGGGAUCAUGGAGGAGAAGAUGUGGAGGUCGCACGAUUGAUGUUUACUGUCCGUGGCACAGAAAGAAGCAGUUUCAUCUCAGGAAAGAGUGUGCACAAUCAACGAAUAGAACGACUAUGGAGAGAUCUCUGGGUGGCCGUUACAUCCAUCUACUAUGAAGUUCUUCAUAACCUUGAGGAAGAAAACCUUCUUGACAUUUCAAAUUCUGCACACCUCUUCUGCUGCCACCAUGUGUUUCUGCCUCGCCUGCAAGACGAUUUGGAUACAUUUUGCAGUGGAUGGGACAAUCAUCCACUACGAACAGAAAGCAACAUGACCCUCAACCAGCUGUGGGAGUAGGGUCGCACAUAUCAUCCUGUUCCUGUACCAGAAAACACACAGGAGUUCCUGAUUCCUGACAUUGACUGGGAAGAAAGUGGGCUCUCCUGCCAGAACCAUUCAAGCAUUGUUGUUCCAAAAACGGACUGUCCACUGACAGAGGAAC